rnacentral:lncRNA from 1 species
UUCCCUCGCACCCCAAACCUCUUCACGCCUCGCAUCGGCGAAACCUUCAAAAACACGCGGUCACCCACCACGAACUCCAAAUCUCUACGGCGUUUAUCUGAAUAGCUUUUCUGUCGCGACUGCACCGUGAGCAACCUUUUGCGAGCAAGGUGGACUUUCUCUUCCGCCUCCCGCAAAACAUCCGGACCGAACUCAAAUUCGCUCGCCUACAUCACUCCAAUAAAUGGGAGAUCGACACUUCCGCCCGUAGA